rnacentral:rRNA from 1 species
GGGGAAUCUUCCGCAAUGGGCGCAAGCCUGACGGAGCAAGACCGCGUGGGGGAGGACGGUUUGUGGAUUGUAAACCCCUUUUCUCAGGGAAGAAGGACUGACGGUACCUGAGGAAUCAGCAUCGGCUAACUCCGUGCCAGCAGCCGCGGUAAUACGGAGGAUGCAAGCGUUAUCCGGAAUUAUUGGGCGUAAAGCGUCCGUAGGUGGUUCAUCAAGUCAGUUGUUAAAGCGUGGGGCUCAACCCCAUAAGGCGAUUGAAACUGGUGGACUAGAGUUUGGUAGGGGUCAGGGGAAUUCCUAGUGUAGCGGUGAAAUGCGUAGAUAUUGGGAAGAACACCGGUGGCGAAAGCGCCUGACUGGGCCUGAACUGACACUGAGGGACGAAAGCUAGGGGAGCGAAAGGGAUUAGAUACCCCAGUAGUC